rnacentral:rRNA from 1 species
UACGGAGGGGGCUAGCGUUGUUCGGAAUUACUGGGCGUAAAGCGCGCGUAGGCGGACCUGCAAGUCAGGGGUGAAAUCCCGGGGCUCAACCCCGGAACUGCCCUUGAAACUGCAGUGCUAGAAUCCUGGAGAGGCGAGUGGAAUUCCGAGUGUAGAGGUGAAAUUCGUAGAUAUUCGGAAGAACACCAGUGGCGAAGGCGACUCGCUGGACAAGUAUUGACGCUGAGGUGCGAAAGCGUGGGGAGCAAACAGG